UAAGUUAAACUGGGCCAGUAUGUUUUGAAUAUUCAUUUAUUCAAACAUGUUCUUAGUUUGCUGAGAAAGUCCUGGCAGAGGAGUCUCCUACUUUCCCAAACUCUGAAGGGGCAGUGGUUAAAUACAGGAGGGAAAUUGCUGUAGCACUUCUCAAUGAGACUGAUGAUCUCAGUGAGCUGUGCCACCACUGUGGAGAGGGAGAAGAAGCGCGAGGGGGGUCUCAAGACAGACCUGAUGCCACUGACUGGAUCCAGUGUGACACCUGUGGAAGGUGGUACCACGAGGGUUGUGUUGGGAGACCGGAUAGAGAUCCUAUGUACAGCUGUCCUGCAUGCCACCAGGCUCAAAUGAGUCGAUGCCGUCCAAAACGGUCCAAAAAAAUAAAAUGUUGAUAACCAUGUCACAUGAUUAUCACGCCUUCCCGUGAGGAUG